rnacentral:rRNA from 1 species
AGGGAUCAUUACACAAAUAUGAAGGCGGGCUGGAACCUCUCGGGGUUACAGCCUUGCUGAAUUAUUCACCCUUGUCUUUUGCGUACUUCUUGUUUCCUUGGUGGGUUCGCCCACCACUAGGACAAACAUAAACCUUUUGUAAUUGCAAUCAGCGUCAGUAACAAAUUAAUAAUUACAACUUUCAACAACGGAUCUCUUGGUUCUGGCAUCGAUGAAGAACGCAGCGAAAUGCGAUAAGUAGUGUGAAUUGCAGAAUUCAGUGAAUCAUCGAAUCUUUGAACGCACAUUGCGCCCUUUGGUAUUCCAAAGGGCAUGCCUGUUCGAGCGUCAUUUGUACCCUCAAGCUUUGCUUGGUGUUGGGCGUCUUGUCUCUAGCUUUGCUGGAGACUCGCCUUAAAGUAAUUGGCAGCCGGCCUACUGGUUUCGGAGCGCAGCACAAGUCGCACUCUCUAUCAGCAAAGGUCUAGCAUCCAUUAAGCCUUUUUUUCAACUUUUGACCUCGGAUCAGGUAGGGAUACCCGCUGAACUUAAGCAUAUCAAUAAGCGGAGGAAAAGAAACCAACAGGGAUUGCCCUAGUAACGGCGAGUGAAGCGGCAACAGCUCAAAUUUGAAAUCUGGCUCUUUUAGAGUCCGAGUUGUAAUUUGCAGAGGGCGCUUUGGCUUUGGCAGCGGUCCAAGUUCCUUGGAACAGGACGUCACAGAGGGUGAGAAUCCCGUACGUGGUCGCUGGCUAUUGCCGUGUAAAGCCCCUUCGACGAGUCGAGUUGUUUGGGAAUGCAGCUCUAAAUGGGAGGUACAUUUCUUCUAAAGCUAAAUAUUGGCCAGAGACCGAUAGCGCACAAGUAGAGUGAUCGAAAGAUGAAAAGCACUUUGGAAAGAGAGUCAAACAGCACGUGAAAUUGUUGAAAGGGAAGCGCUUGCAGCCAGACUUGCUUACAGUUGCUCAUCCGGGUUUCUACCCGGUGCACUCUUCUGUAGGCAGGCCAGCAUCAGUUUGGGCGGUAGGAUAAAGGUCUCUGUCACGUACCUCCUUUCGGGGAGGCCUUAUAGGGGAGACGACAUACUACCAGCCUGGACUGAGGUCCGCGCAUCUGCUAGGAUGCUGGCGUAAUGGCUGUAAGCGGCC